CCGCCCUCAUACCCCUGUUGGUUACAGAGCAGGGAGGAAGAAGCUGAGUAAGCUUCAGUAUUGCAGAGGGGGCUCAAGAGAAGAGAGGAAACUGACACUGCUUUGUUGACAAUUGAGCCAGAUUUUUGUUGUUUUGUGAAAAUUGACAAGUUGCUGAAAAAGCAUUCAAAGCAGUAACGAGGUCAUGAGAAAAUCACAAUGGAAACAGGUUCCAG